rnacentral:tRNA from 1 species
UGCGGGGUGGGGGAAUGGUACCCCACGUGGCUCAUAACCAUGAGAAGCAGGUUCGAUUCCUGCCCCCGCAA